ACAUGCAAGUCGAACGCAGUAGCAAUACUGAGUGGCAGACGGGUGAGUAACAUGUGGGAAUCUGCCUUGUGGUUCAGGACAACAUUGGGAAACCGAUGCUAAUACUGGAUAAGCCCUUACGGGGAAAGUUUUAAUGCCAUAAGAUGAGCCCGCAUUUGAUUAGUUAGUUGGUGAGGUAAUGGCUCACCAAGACAAUGAUCAAUAGCUGAUCUGAGAGGAUGAUCAGCCACACUGGGACUGAGACACGGCCCAGACUCCUACGGGAGGCAGCAGUGGGGAAUCUUGCACAAUGGAGGAAACUCUGAUGCAGCGAUGCCGCGUGAGUGAAGAAGGCCUUUGGGUUGUAAAGCUCUUUUGUAGGGGAAGAUAAUGACUGUACCCUAAGAAUAAGGUCCGGCUAACUUCGUGCCAGCAGCCGCGGUAAUACGAAGGGACCUAGCGUAGUUCGGAAUUACUGGGCGUAAAGCGCGCGUAGGCCGUUGAGUUAGUUAAUUGUGAAAUCCCAAAGCUUAACUUUGGAACUGCAAUUAAAACUGCUCGACUAGAGUUUGAUAGAGGAAAGCGGAAUACAUAGUGUAGAGGUGAAAUUCGUAGAUAUUAUGUAGAACACCAGUUGCGAAGGCGGCUUUCUGGAUCAACACUGACGCUGAGGCGCGAAAGUAUGGGUAGCAAAGAGGAUUAGAUACCCUCGUAGUCCAUACCAUAAACGAUGAUUGCUAGAUGUUGGAAAUUUAUUUUCAGUAUCGCAGCUAACGCA
rnacentral:rRNA from 1 species